CCUACGGGUGGCAGCAGUGGGGGAUAUUGCACAAUGGGGGAAACCCUGAUGCAGCGACGCCGCGUGUGGGAAGACGGUCCUCUGGAUUGUAAACCACUGUCCCCAGGGACGAAGAUGACGGUACCCGAAGAAAAAGCAUCGGCUAACUCCGUGCCAGCAGCCGCGGUAAUACGGAGGAUGCGAGCGUUAUCCGGAUUUAUUGGGUUUAAAGGGUGCGCAGGCGGAGGUGCAAGUCAGCGGUCAAAUUGCGGGGCUCAACCCCGUACUGCCGUUGAAACUGCAUCCCUUGAGUGCGCGAGAAGUAUGCGGAAGGCGUGGUGUAGCGGUGAAAGGCAAAGAUACCACGCAGAACUCCGAUUGCGAAGGCAGCAGACCGGCGCGCAACUGACGCUCAUGCACGAAAGCGUGGGUAUCGAACAGGAUUAGAUACCCCAGAAGUC
rnacentral:rRNA from 1 species